GACGAACGCUGGCGGCGUGCUUAACACAUGCAAGUCGAACGGAAAGGCCCUGCUUUUGUGGGGUGCUCGAGUGGCGAACGGGUGAGUAACACGUGAGUAACCUGCCCUUGACUUUGGGAUAACUUCAGGAAACUGGGGCUAAUACCGGAUAGGAGCUCCUGCUGCAUGGUGGGGGUUGGAAAGUUUCGGCGGUUGGGGAUGGACUCGCGGCUUAUCAGCUUGUUGGUGGGGUAGUGGCUUACCAAGGCUUUGACGGGUAGCCGGCCUGAGAGGGUGACCGGCCACGUGGGGAAUGAGAUAAGGCCGAGACUCCUACGGGAGGAAGCAGUGGGGAAUAUUGGACAAUGGACGGAAGCCUGAUGCAGCAACGCCGCGUGCGGGAUGACGGCCUUCGGGUUGUAAACCGCUUUCGCCUGUGACGAAGCGUGAGUGACGGUAAUGGGUAAAGAACCACCGGCUAAGUACGUG
rnacentral:rRNA from 1 species